GUCGGGAUAGCUCAGUUGGAA
rnacentral:tRNA from 1 species